rnacentral:rRNA from 1 species
AGUGAACGCUGGCGGUAGGCCUAACACAUGCAAGUCGAACGGCAGCACAGUAAGAGCUUGCUCUUACGGGUGGCGAGUGGCGGACGGGUGAGGAAUACAUCGGAAUCUACUUUUUCGUGGGGGAUAACGUAGGGAAACUUACGCUAAUACCGCAUACGACCUACGGGUGAAAGCAGGGGAUCUUCGGACCUUGCGCGAUUGAAUGAGCCGAUGUCGGAUUAGCUAGUUGGCGGGGUAAAGGCCCACCAAGGCGACGAUCCGUAGCUGGUCUGAGAGGAUGGUCCACACACUGGGAAAUAGAACACGGUCCAGCCUCCCAGGGGAGGCAGCAGGGGGGAAUUUUGGAAAAGGGGCGCAAGCCUAAACCAGCCAUACCGGGGGGGGAAAGAAGGCCUUCGGUUUGUAAACCCCUUUUGUUGGAAAAAAAAAACAGCAGGUUAAUCCCCCGCUGUUCUGACGGUACCCAAAAAAAAAGCACCGGCUAACUUCGU